UUUGGUAAGCAGAACUGGCGAUGCGGGAUGAACCGAAWGUCGAGCUACGGUGCCAAACUGCGCGCUAACCCAGACACCACAAAGGGUGUUGAUUGAUACAGRCAGCAGGACGGUGGUCAUGGAAGUCGUAAUCCGCUAAGGAGUGUGUAACCACUCACCUGCCGAAUCAAUCAGCCCCGAAAAUGGAUGGCGCUGAAGCGCGCGACCUAUGCUCGGYCGUCGCGGCGAUUCUGACGCCGUGACGAGUAGGAGGGCACGGGGCCUGCUGCGAAGCCUGGAGCGUGAGCCGAGGAGAAGCGUGUCCCGGUGCAGAUCUUGGUGGUAGUAGCAAAUAUUCAAAUGAGAACUUUGAAGACCGAAGUGGAGAAGGGUUYCAUGUGAACAGCGCUUGGACAUGGGUCAGUCGGCCCUAAGAGAUGUGGAAACCUUGUAUCAGGGCACACUGCGCGCCGCACAUCGAAAGGAGGUCGGGUUAAUAUUCCCGAACCGGGUUGUGGAGGUGGACGGUAACGUAAGCAGCUCCGGAGAUGCCGGCGGGGGCCGUGGGGAGGGUUCUCUUUCCUUCUUGACGGCUCGCCCACCCUGGAAUCGGAUCAACCGGAGAUAGGGUGCAGCGCCCGACAAAGCACCGCGCGUCCUGUGGUGUCCAGCGCGCCCCCGACGACCCUUGAAAAUCUGGAGCUGCGGGUACCUCUCACGCUUGACCGUACUCAUAACUGCAUCAGGUCUCCUAGGUGAGCAGCCUCUCGUCAAAGGAAGAAUAUAGGUAAGGGAAGUCGGCAAUAUGGAUCCGUAACCUUGGGAAAAGGAUUGGCUCUGAGGGAUGGGCCUAGGGGUCUGCGCCUCGAUGUCGUUGGCUGCCGGUGGUCUGCCCGAGCUGCUCUCGCGGCGACGACAAAGUCCGAGUGCCAGUGUGCCAACGGGCGUAGAAUAUCUUAUGUCCCCACCUUUCGGGUGGGGCCRUGGGACUCUCCCUAAGCAUCAAACUGCCGACUCAGAACUGGUGCGGACAAGGGGAGUCCGACUGUUUCAUUAAAACAAAGCAUUGCGAUGGUCYCAACGGAUGUUGACGCAAUGUGAUUUCUGCCCAGUGCUCUGAAUGUCAAAGUGAGAUUCAACCAAGCGCGGGUAAACGGUGGGAGUAACAAUGACUCUCUUAAUGAAACCAAAUGCCUCGUCAUCUGAUUAGUGACACGCAGGAAUGGAUUAACGAGAUUCCCACUGUCCCUAUCUACCAUCCUGCGAAACCACAGCCAAGGGAACGGGCUUGGAAGAAUCGGCGAGGAAAGAAGACCCUGUUGAGCUUGACUCUAGUUCGACUCUGUGAAAUGACUUGAGAGGUGUAGAAGAAGUGGGAGCCUUACGGGGCAAGUGAAAUACCACUACUUUUAACGUUAUUUUACUUAUUUCGUGAGGUGGAGCCGGGKCUCUGCCCCUGCUUCUCGAUCCAAGGUGCAGGCCCUCGUGGCCUGUCCAAUCCAAGCGAAAGACAUUGUCAGGUGGGGAGUUUGGCUGGGGCGAAACAUCUGUUAGAAUAUAACACAGGUAUCCUAAGAUGAGCUCAACGAGAACAGAAAUCUCGUGUGGAGCAAAAGGGCAAAAACUCACUUCAUUUUGAUUUCCAGUACGAAUAUCCCCACUGCUUUUUCUAUUGACUAUCCUUGCCUGUACACUGGGACGCUGGGCUCGAUUCCUAGCAGUUGCUGAUCCCCACCAAUAGACUGGAGCCCCUCCCCGGGUGUUAGUGAUAUCUGCUCUUACCAGUAUCACUAGCACUAUGGGGGGGGGGGUGGUGUGAAAAAAAAAAAAAAAAAAAAAAGAACUGUGAGAGCAUGGCCUAUUGAUUCUUUAGCAUUUCAGGACUUGAAGCUAGAGGUGUCAGAAAAGUUACCACAGGGAUAACUGGCUUGUGGCAGCCAAGCGUUCAUAGCGACUUUGGUUUUUGAUCCUUAGAUGUCGGCUCUUCCUAUCAUUGUGAAGCAGAAUUCAYCAAGUGUUGGAUUGUUCACCCACCAACAGGGAACUUGAGCUGGGUUUAGACCGUCGUGAGACAGGUUAGUCUUACCCUACUGAUGCACCGUCGUCGCAAUGGUUAUCCAACCCAGUACCAGAGGAAGCGUUGGUUCGCACACUUGGCAAUUGUGCUUGGCUGAAAAGCCAGCGGUGCAAAGCUACCGUGCGUGGGAUUAUGACUGAACGCCUCUAAGUCAGAAUCUGUGCUUGCAGCGACGGCGUAUGGCUCCUCGGAUGACACGACGGUGUCGAUAGGGCCAGCCCGUCUGGCCCCGAAAGCAUAAGUUCGGAGUUGUCCCUCCUGCGGCGGAGCACCGAUGCCCUGGGGGUCUCUUCAUCGCAAUUUGUUUCGCUCGGGGAGCCCCGAAAGCAUAAGUUCGGAGUUGUCCCUCCUGCGGCGGAGCACCGAUGCCCUGGGGGUCUCUU
rnacentral:rRNA from 1 species